GGGCUCUUAGCACAGGGGUUAGCGCGCAUGCUUUGCAUUAAAGCGUCUGCAUGAGGUCGUGGGUUCAAAUCCCACAGAGUCCA
rfam:Hebeloma cylindrosporum h7 unplaced genomic scaffold scaffold_13, whole genome shotgun sequence.